UACGGAGGGAGCUAGCGUUGUUCGGAAUUACUGGGCGUAAAGCGCACGUAGGCGGCUUUGUAAGUUAGAGGUGAAAGCCCGGGGCUCAACCCCCGGAAUUGCCUUUAAGACUGCAUCGCUUGAAUCCAGGAGAGGUGAGUGGAAUUCCGAGUGUAGAGGUGAAAUUCGUAGAUAUUCGGAAGAACACCAGUGGCGAAGGCGGCUCACUGGACUGUAUUGACGCUGAGGUGCGAAAAGCGUGGGGAGCAAACAG
rnacentral:rRNA from 1 species